rnacentral:lncRNA from 1 species
AUUUAGGAUUGCUGUUGAAGGCUUCCUCAAGCAAACUCCAGCUUAAAGCCCUAGACAGGUAAAAGCAUACAUUGGAUGGCAGCAUGGGUUUCUUCCCAUUUUAUGGGCAUGAAAUAUGUGGUUUAGAAUAAGGAACAAGCAUUGUUCCUUUGCCAACAGCCUCACUCUAAGAGGCUUUUUUGCUGAGUCAAGCAAACACUUGCCUGCUCUGCCCCUUGGAGCUGCAUUUGACCUGCUCUCACUGGUAAGGUGACUUGGUGGCGUUCCCACUUGAUUUAGCCAUUUUCUUCCAUUGUGAGACCACUGCCAUCUAUCCACCUGCCCACCUCCCCUUUUGUUUCUCAGUAACAUUGCCAUUUGUUUUUUGCCUUUGAUAAACUGUGAUGUACUGUUCUGAGAUCUUUUGGGUGCAGUUCUGAAACUGAAAGGACUGUUAACAUGUUUUUAAUUUUAUAUCUAUGCUUUCAGACUCUUUGAUGAUAAUUUUUUUAAAAAAAAUUAUUCUCUCGAAGAGCAACUUACGAGAGGACAGCCUUAUGAGGGUUUGCUUGAGAGGCAGUGUGGCUUCUGUGACUGCCAGCUCUAAAUCUCGAUCUUGCCAUAACUUUACAGGGUAACUUGGGUCCACAGUCACUCUUUGUGCCUCAGUUUACCCACCCAUUAAAUGGGAACAUUACUGUCUUCCCCUCCCUACCUCAUGGGGAAUGUCUGGGAAGCUGGGGACAUUGCUAUGCAAAUGUGUGAAUCUUAGUCAUGGAUUUGAUUUUUAGUUCUCCCCAUACCCCCAUAGGCAAGGCCUUCCCCCAGAGUUCCUGCUUUGGAUCCAAAGCCUGAGAAUAGGCCAUUAUGGACCAUUGGCUCCCUAAAUCCCUCCUUGGCCUCUUGGACUGAGCCCCUCAGCCUUUCUUCUUACCCUUCAGAAAGGAGAGUUCUCUUUAGAUAUGUUCAGGGGGAUCUUUCCGUGGCUGGAGGUCACCUUGACUGGGAGCUUGGCUUCUCCAAACCUGAAACACAGUAGAAGAUAGAGAUGUUUAUGAUGCAAAAACCUGCUCUGAGGUCAGAAAGUGCUAGUUUUCCAAAUCUCUCCCAUUGCUGCUGGCUAUUUGGGGAAAGAAGAGAAAAGCCCAUUCCAGAGGCAGAAGGGAAGCUCCCAGCCGAGGGUAAAAGUUGAGACCUGUAUGCAUGUAUCUCUGUAUAUGUGUAUGUAAUCACCCUCAUCACCAUCCCUGAGAAAACAUUUCCUUUUCAAGUCAGAGCACGCCUGAAAGGGUUUGUGGAGAGCCCAGCUCACCAGGGACUCUGGUUGCCGUAGCAACCUUCCAGACUGUUCUCUCUAUCUUCUGCUUUGGGCAUCAAGGGAGACCAGGGGACUACAUCUUCCCAGCUUCUCAAAUGGGAGCACCUCCCACAUCGUGGCUUAGGGGCUGGGAGUGCCAGGGCACGGAUGUGGGACUUUUGGAAAAUGUGGAGGAAGCAGGGCCUCAAAGCUUCCUGUCUGGACUUUUCUUCCUAGUUUCCCCACCCAGUCAUUGAAGCUGCCUCAUCUUACUCCUGAUUCUUCAGAAAUUUGAAUGUUAAGCAACCAGUUAAACCAAUGUCAGUAUUAAUUUUUUCAAGCUGUCGAGGGGAGCCCUUAGAGGGGACAACUUCUCCUUGGAGUGGCGGCCAAGCUGGGCCUCACCAGGUGUGAUCAUAUAGUCUUAGAUAUCAUGGAGUUCCCGUCUCCACAGAGGCAGGCUCUUCCCAGCUCCACGAGAGGCGGAGAAUUGCAACUUCUUCCUCUCUGGGAACAGCCUAUCUAGCUCCUGGGAGGAAUCUCAAAGAUCUUUCUUCUUAAGACAUCAAAGAAAAACUGAGAGGCUGUAGCUCGACCUAGUUUCUGUGAAGAAUUUUGUCAAGUGAUCCCUCUCGGACCCUGAGCCUCUUUAGUUGGAUUUUGUGCCUUGAGCACCAAGAGAAUAUGCACUCUGGGUUGCCUGGACAGCUGGGGUGGUGAUUCACAGGAAGGGUCCAAGCCAUCACUACACCUGACUCAAGCCGGAAAGAGCACCCAGAGGACUUCCUGGAACUGCCAGCCUCAGCCUGAGAUGCGGGAUAUUCGUCCCCAAGGAGCGAGGAGGGACAGCUCGCCUUCUUUGCAGGUGAGGAAAAAUGCGGGCAGGUGGUGCAAGCAAGGACAUCUAUGCAUAGAAUUCUGACAGCAGCUGGACCCUCAACUUCUUCAGAAGACGAGACCCCUGCCUGGCACUGCUGGCAGGCAUCUGGCCUGACACCGCUCUGGAGGCCUCCCACAAGCAGCAACCAAGCCAGAAAAAGCUGAGACCAGACCCACUGUCCCUAAAGAUGGGGCCCAGAAUGUUGGGGUGAAGCUGUAGGAACAGGGUGAAAGCUGGUGGUGUGAGCAAAGAGACCAGCUAUGGGGUGGUCAGGGGAUUCCGGAAGGUGCAUGGUUAAUGUUGCAGACCCCCCCAGGACAAGGGUGGCUGUGGAAGAAUGGCAAAUAAACACAAGGCAAAGUCUCAGAGGCUGUGCAUUAUGCCAUGAGAAAACGUCGACGGCCAAGUUAGGCAGACAAGCCAAGCGGUCUCCACAAGAAUAGGCAGGGAUCCGAAAUUCAGAGCACCUGCAGCUUGCUGGGCAUCCUCACUACACAGGAGGAUGUGAUGGCCACACAUAGAUCACCAGGAAGAGGGCUUGAUCACCCUCUGCCAUGAGCCGGCCCACAGAUAGGGGACAUUCUGCAAGAAAGUAAGAUGCGUAACCCAUGAUCUAAGAGUUAACUGCCUCUGAUAGACACGCGAAUGGGCAAAUAUCAAGGGCAGAGUUAUUUUUUUACAUGGACUUCCCAGAGGCCAGAUGAUGCUGUGUGCGGGGUCUCCCAGGUACAGUAAGGACGUUCUUUCCAGUCACCCGCAUUGUUCUUGCAACUGACAGCUGUUCUCUCUUGGCCUGUCCUCAGUGGAAGGGGGUAAUGCUACUUCUUAACAAUCAAACAAGCCCUUGCACUCUUCUAGGAUGUCUGGUGGGGGACAUUCCCACUGCUAGUCACUCAUUCACGUAUCUUUUCCUCUUCCUGACAAAAUGAAGGACUAGGAUGAUUUUCUUGCGUGGAAUUUUGUUUCCUAAUGAGGUGUUGCUGGGGCUCCAGGUUGCUUUAAUGCCCACACCCUCCCAGAUUGUCCUGAGUGCUGGGGCUUCAUGACGUUGCUGCAGAAGUCUGGACAGCAGGGACCGUAGCCUUCGCCAUGUGUCUAGCAGAGCACCUGAUACAGAAUUGUCACUCAUACAAUGUGUGGUGAAUUAAUGAGUGAGGAAAUAAAUGAAGGAAGUGCUGG